UUGAUGGGUUUCGAAAGCAUUUGAGGGUGAAAAGUAAAGAUUAAGAAAAUAAAUUAUGCAGGAGCAAGUAGCAAGAAAGCAAACCAAGGUUACCAGAGUGAGGAGCGACAUUUUCGGAAUAAACGUGGUACCUGUUGAAGUUUGGCACUGUCAGACCCUACCUGGGCUACAACACUAUGCAGGACUUCUUUUCCACUAUGGCCACUGCAGGCCAACCCCACGUGUGAUGACCGCCACUGCAGAAAACAGCAGGACAGC